rnacentral:rRNA from 1 species
AGUGAACGCUGGCGGUAGGCCUAACACAUGCAAGUCGAACGGCAGCACAGUAAGAGCUUGCUCUUACGGGUGGCGAGUGGCGGACGGGUGAGGAAUACAUCGGAAUCUACUUUUUCGUGGGGGAUAACGUAGGGAAACUUACGCUAAUACUGCAUACGACCUACGGGUGAAAGCAGGGGAUCUUCGGACCUUGCGCGAUUGAAUGAGCCGAUGUCGGAUUAGCUAGUUGGCGGGGUAAAGGCCCACCAAGGCGACGAUCCGUAGCUGGUCUGAGAGGAUGAUCAGCCACACUGGAGCUGAGACACGGUCCAGACUCCUACGGGAGGCAGCAGUGGGGAAUAUUGGACAAUGGGCGCAAGCCUGAUCCAGCCAUACCGCGUGGGUGAAGAAGGCCUUCGGGUUGUAAAGCCCUUUUGUUGGGAAAGAAAAGCAGCAGGUUAAUACCCCGCUGUUCUGACGGUACCCAAAGAAUAAGCACCGGCUAACUUCGUG